GAUGAAGAACGUAGCGAAAUGCGAUAAGUAGUGUGAAUUGCAGAAUUCAGUGAAUCAUCGAAUCUUUGAACGCACAUUGCGCCCCUUGGUAUUCCAUGGGGCAUGCCUGUACGAGCGUCAUUUGUACCUUCAAGCUUUGCUUGGUGUUGGGUGUUUGUCCCGAGGGACUCGCCUUAAAGUAAUUGGCAGCCAGUGUUUGGUUUUGAAGCGCAGCACAAGUCGCGAUUCAAGGCUACACGCCCGCUUCCACAAGCCUUUUUUCACUUUUGACCUCGGAUCAGGUAGGGAUACCCGCUGAACUUAAGCAUAUCAAUAAGCGGAGGA
rnacentral:misc_RNA from 1 species